ACAGAUUUAGGACGCUGCUGUUUGUUCUCCUGUGCAUCUCUCCUCCCUGGAUCAAGCUCUCCUGCCACUUAACCUUCAGGACAGAGUUUGGAGGGACCAUACCUGUAGGGGAUGCAGCAAGGAGCCAGCGCAGGCUGUCUGUGAAGGAGCUGGGUCAGGUCGACUGCCAGGACUGGCUCUACAGGAAGAAGGAGCGCAAGGGCUUCUUGGGAAACAAAUGGAAGAAGUACUGGUUUGUUCUGAAGAUGACCUCCCUUCACUGGUAUACCUAUCAGAUGGGAUGUGUAUCCCUGCCUCGCUCCACCUCCUCCCCCUGUCACUCCACUGUCCCUGUGUCUGCCCCUACCAGCAUUAUGACGUCAGAGAGCAUUGAGUUCAUCUGGCUGGAUGCCCCUUCUCCGGAGAGGGCAGUGGGCAGGUCCUCCCCUCAGAGAGGAAGAGGAAGAUGGAUUGGGGGCUGAGGCCCGGGGUGUAAAGGAGGAGGGCGCAUCUGAUGAGAUGGAGGCACUGUACGUCAAUCUAAAGCAGGACAGACUAUCGCCAACUGGAGAACUGACGAGGGACUUCAGAGGGUCAUUCAUGCGAUGCUGCAGAAAUGACAAAGUCAAUGAGAAGCUGGAUCUGGUCAGGACCCUCAACAGCAUUUUAUCGGCAAAAUAAGCAGACCUGUUGACUAUAGAACACGUGCUGGCCAUGCUCACUGCACGGAGGGAUCGACUGCAGGAGAUCAUUCACCACAAGAAAAGCCCACCAGGUGGCAGCAGAGAGCUGUUUUUCCCUUUCAGAGCGCAAUGGAGGGAUCAGGGUCCAUAUGUGUCAAGCAAGCAGGAGUGCUUUCAUGGACAGGGACCUGAUCCUAGAUCAGCACCCUCUGAGACGCUUUGUGAACACAGCCCAGAUGCUUUUCUUCAGGCAGAUGCAAAGAUACUGUAGCUUAUUUACAAUACAUACGUAUAGUUGAAGGUGAGAAAAAAUGAAGUUGUAUUCAUUUUAUUGAGGAUAUUCCUGAAAAUUAGCUUUGGGUAUUCCCAGGCUUUCUUGUAAAAAAUGGUUAUACAUGUUUGAUUCAAUGUUAUGAUUUUAAGAAUGUAUUUUUUUAUGCAGUGCCACGCAGAGAUUAUGGAAAUAUGAUGCUCCGUGCUAAUAAUAGGACAUAUUUAUUCUGUCUGAUAUUCGACUAACUCACAAAUGAGUGCUAGAUAACAGGGUCCAUAAAGUACACCAUGUUAUACUAUUUUUCCCCCACUGUUGUUACACUGAAAUAAGGGCUGUUCAUUCAAGGUGCACGCACACCUAUUUAAGUACACACCUAGUUCAAUUACUGUAGCAAAGGAAGCAAUGGCCUGAGCUAAUGUUAUCUGGACAAUACUAUCUUUAUUUAAGUAGGCAAGUCAGU